rnacentral:lncRNA from 1 species
GAUUCGUUUUAUACAUGUUACGUCAAGCCGACGUAAUUUGGCCAAAGUGUAUCCUGCUAAAAAAAGAGGCCAUGAAACAGGAACAAGGAUCAUCAGCAUGAUGCAGCAAUUUAUCUUUUGAAAGAUGUCUUUAAGCCUUUAAAGCUCAACAUCAGCGUGGAUAAACAAGAAACAGCCGUCUCCAAUCAUCCCCGGCAUGCAGGGUCUUAAAGUGAGUAGAGGGGAGGUAGAGAUGAAGAUGGAGGGACUGAGCUCCACCAUUCCCGAAGGUCACCUUGAUAAUGGGUGAAGGUCACUUACAUGGAUGAAGAUCACUUAGAGAUGGGAUGAAAGUCACCUUCAUGUAGAUGGGUGGUGCUCAUUAUGGCCUUGCCUAAGGAGGAAGUCAAUUUCUCAUCGCCUGCAAGCUGAUUUUCUUUAAGGCUUUGUUCUUUCUCUCCCUCUAUCUCUGUGUCUCUCUCACUCUUUGUCUCUCUCUCUCCCUCUCUUUCUCUCUGUCUCUCUCUAUCUCUCUCUAUUUCUCUCUGUCUGCCUGCCCCCCUCUCUCUCUCUUUCUGUCUCCUCUCUCUCUCUCUCUCCUCCCUUCUCUGUUUCUGCUCCAGUUCUCUUCAUUAGGAAAGAAAAAAGAAAAAGUCCCUGACACAAAAUUGAAAAUUACGUUUCCCUCCAUUUCUAGUCGAAUUAAAUCCUGUUUGAUUUUCCAGGUUUUUUGCUAGAAGAUAAGUUUUCCCCCUUUAGGGCAUUGUUUGAAACUAGCAUACUGUAAUUCCAAAACUCUUAGAAACUGUAUCUCUAAAACAGGAAAACUGCAACAGCUACAUGUAACAACUACAUGUAUAUGGACCCUAUCCCCCAAUCUAGAUUGUUGACACAGAUGUGUGGUCAAGCACAUGUAUGAGGAACAAACUUUAUCAAAUUAAUAUCCUAUUAUGUUUACAUUGUAAAAAUGCAUGUGGAAUGAGGUAAGUAAAGGGAUCUUAAACAUACUGUAAACUAGAGCACUUUAUUUUUCCACUUUUUGUAAAUGAUGAUCUAACUUAUGAUUAAAAUUAAAAUUUGGGCAGUUAUUAUGAAGGGAGAUUGCACUAAUAAAGAGGAUUUUUGGAGCAGGCAAAUAAUUUUUGACCAGUAUUAGAGAAAUAAUAAUAAUACAACGCAAGUGACACAACAUUUUUUUAACUGCUUAAUAUCAUAUUUCUAAGGGCAUAAGAGAAGAUAUCCUAAUGAAGACAUAAUUUUCUAUUGAAUAAACUAUGAGGGAAUAUGCAGCAGAGGUGAAUUAUAUUGUAAUAUCUUAAGGAAUUAUGGAUCUGGACGCUAUUAAAGUAGUUCUGCCUAGAGCACUGGGGGUUGUGGUUUUUAAAGGACUGUUUAUUGAGUAGAGAAGGGCUUUACAGUGUAGCACACAUGGGGAUGAGGCAAGUGUGAGUUCCAGCAAUAUCGAGGAAAAUAAAAAAUAAAUUCGGAGAGUCCGAUAAUAGUUGAGCCGUUUGUAAUUUGAAGCGAAAUGUAGGGACACCGUAUCAAAAGAGGCGGAGUGCCUUUACCGUAAAUGAAGCCGCGUCUACCGCCCGGAAAUGUCGCGAUUUCUGUGUUUGGCCGUUGACAUAUAAAUACAUGCUACACAUGUAUGAAGCGAGAAAUGGUAGCUUCAAGCAGACUUUGUGCGGCUUUCUAAAGAAGCCAUAGACUUACUCGAGAAGCCCCACAGGCAUCACCCCUGACAGUUGUGAUACAUCGAGCUUCCUCGUUUCUGUUAUUGACCGUUGGCAAAAAGUGUUUCUAUUCCUGGAUUUACUGAAAAAUAAAAACAUGAAACCGACUUGCUGCAACUUUCUGAGGAAUUGUGGACUGCAGUACUUGUGCGAGGGUACAACAAGCAUUCAACCUGUGAUUCUUUGGAAGUACGCAGGGGGCUUGUUGGCCAAUGGACAACCAUUGAGGAAUCUGGAGAAACUUAUCUUUUGAAUAGAACAUUGGAGUGGAAUAGUGAAUGCAACUUUUUUUUAUUCUGCUGAUCUACGGACAUGUGAUUGCUCAAAUUUCACCUUCAUUCAAAAGA